rnacentral:rRNA from 1 species
AGCGAACGCUGGCGGCAUGCUUAACACAUGCAAGUCGCACGGGCAGCAAUGUCAGUGGCGGACGGGUGAGUAACGCGUAGGUAUCUAUCCUUGGGUGGGGGACAACGGCUGGAAACGGCUGCUAAUACCGCAUGAUAACUGAGGUUUAAAGGCGCAAGUCGCCUGGGGAGGAGCCUGCGUACGAUUAGCUAGUUGGUGGGGUAAAGGCCUACCAAGGCGACGAUCGUAGCUGGUCUGAGAGGAUGAUCAGCCACAUUGGGACUGAGACACGGCCCAAACUCCUACGGGAGGCAGCAGUGGGGAAUAUUGGACAAUGGGCGAAAGCCUGAUCCAGCAAUGCCGCGUGUGUGAAGAAGGUCUUCGGAUUGUAAAGC